CCUUCCUCCCUCCUUCCUUCUUUCCCUUCUUCCUUCCCUCCCUCAAACAGUAGACCUUGAGUUUCAGGACAUGGUUUUAGUUGUUACCUGGUUCGAGCCUGGCUUUUGCAGGCUGUGUGACACUGGGUAAGUGGCUUCACCUCUCUGAGCCUCAGUUUCCCCAUCUAUAAAAUGGAGACAGUAACAGAGCCCACUUCCAGCUGUAUUAUGAAAACUAGAUGAAGAAAUUAAUGAACGUGCUUGGCACAUAGUAAGGGUGGAAUCAUUGCUGCCUGUUAUUUUUCUAAAUUAUUAUUUAUUGCAUGCAUCUCAUGUACCAGUGGGGCACAGAGACGAAUCGCACAGCCUGUGCCCCCAAAAGUGCUCACUGACAUGACAGCUCUCAUAAGCAACCCCAAGUUAUGUUUUUAAAAUAGUAUUUUAUGUCUGGGCAGGAAUACAGAUAUGUUCACAGCGCUCAAAAGAAAGGUGAUACUGAACUUAUGAAGCAGAUAAAUUAGGGGUGAUUAUUCUCAUUACAAAAGGAUACGCUACAGGGAUUCUUUAAGUGAAUGUUAGCCAAGGACAGAGACUGGGUCUGUCUUCACUGUUGGCUUCUCAGCCCCUUACAUGGGAACUGGCACUUAGGAGGGGCUCAGCAGGUUCUCUCUCUGUCACCCAGGCUGGAGUGUAGUGACUCAAU